AAAGAGUUAAAUAAUUAAUAAAUUUAUUGUUGUAAAAAUAUUUUAAAUAAUUAUUUUGAAAUGAAAUGUUAUUCGUUUUUAAAUAUAUCUAGUUUUUUUAGAAAAAAAUUUAAUUUUAAAUUUAAAAACUAAAUUGAAUUUAUUAACUAAUUCAAUUUAUUUUUAAAUUUUAUAUUUUAAGGGAUAAGCUUUAAAUUAAAUUUUUAUAAGAAUUUAUUAAAUAUAAUAAAAUUUAUAUAAUUUAUAUUAUUAAUAAAUUUUAGUUUGUUAUAAAUAAUUUUAUUAAUAAAAAAAAUUUAAUUGGUUAUUUUUAAUUAUUUAUAAAAAAAUUAUUUUAAAUUAUAGUUAAAUUAGUUAUAAUGAUAAAAUUAGUAUAUUAUUUAUUUGUAAAUAUAAUAAUUUAUUAUAUAUUAAAUUAAUUUAUUAAAAGGAAUUCGGCAAAUAUUUAUAUUCACUUGGUUUAACAAAAACAUGUCUUUUUGUUUUAAUAUAAAGUCUAAUCUGCCCACUGAUUUUAAAUUAAAGGGCUGCAGUAUAUUGACUGUACAAAGGUAGCAUAAUCAUUAGUCCCUUAAUUGGUGACUUGUAUGAAAGAUUGGAUGAAAUAUAUACCGGCUCCUAAUAAAUUUAUUGAAUUUAUUUUUUAUUUAAAAAGUUAAAUAUUUUUAAAAAGACGAGAAGACCCUUUAGAGUUUAAUAAUUAAUUUUUUUUUAUUUAAUUUAUAAAUUUAAUAAAUUUUAUAAUUUUAAUUAUUUUGUUGGGGUGACAAAAAAAUAAAAUUAACUUUUUUUAAAAAAAUAAUCAUAAAUAAGUGUUUUAUUGAUCCAAUUAAUAUUGAUUAUAAGAUUAAAUUACCUAAGGGAUAACAGCGUAAUUUUUUUUUUUAGUUCAAAUAAAAAAAAGAGUUUGCGACCUCGAUGUUGGAUUAAGAUAAAAUUUAAAUGCAAAAGUUUAAAAUUUUUG
rnacentral:rRNA from 1 species